rnacentral:snRNA from 1 species
GUGAUCAUUGUUCACUUGAGCAUCUCGUAUACUAAAAUUGACAUGAUGCGGAGAUUAGCAUGGCCCCCUGCAAAAGGAUAACACUCAAAUUUGUAACAUGUUCCAUAUAGAA